CUUGCUACUGCUAGAACAUACACAGAAAUACGUGUGAUUUUGAUUUUCUCAGAGCUGAGAUAUUCUUCUAAAAACAUUUGUUCAGCAGAAGAAAGCCACUCAUACACAUCUGGGAUGGCAUAAGGGGGCUGAAGUGGGUCUGGCCUUUUGUCUGGGGGUGGAGCAGUCCUUUCAGGAAGAAAAGCCACAUGGGACACAGUGCCUCCAAUUGGCAACAUUGUGCAGUUAGACCACUUUUGUUCAGGCAAUAUCAUGCUAAAGUGUGGAGAUGUGCUCGGAUGCACAAUUAGGACCAUAUCACCUGGCUGCUCUACCGAAGAGAUUGUGAAGGCACUGGCAUGAGAAAGAAGGAACAUAUGAAGCUGUAUACCAUCAAGUCAUACAUCGCUGAAGGCCUAUGCAACAUACACACACGGAGUCAUUUGGAUGUUGGUUUAUAUGUUUAUAUGAAAUGUGAGAAACAUUUAUACAUGAGGUGUUAGUUGUAAUUAGUAAAGGUUUGUUUAUUUGAUUGUUUGAUGUUUGUGACUGGUUGGAACCAUUUGUAUUUGAUGUUUGUCAAAAUGAAAGGAUAUAUAAUAUAUGGAUAUAUUAUCAGGGUCCCCCAAGCUCCCAAAAAAUGGGGUGAAAUAUUUUUUCACCCCAAAAUAAAAACUUCAUGCCCUAGAGGGUUAAGAUGUAGCCAGAUGGUAUAAUUUUUGGACACAUUGUAAAUACUCCAUACAGACACUUCAAUUGUAAUAUUGUAUAACUAAUUAGUAAACUUGUUAUAAUUGUUAUCCACAAUGCCACUUUAUUGUUAUUAUAAUUAUUGCUAUUAAUAAAAACAAUGUUAAUACAAUGUUAACCCCCAUACGUUUAUUUGGUA